UGCAGUCGAGCGGAGAAAUGGGAGCUUGCUCCCAUUUCUCAGCGGCGGACGGGUGAGUAACACGUGGGCAACCUGCCCUACAGACUGGGAUAACUCCGGGAAACCGGAGCUAAUACCGGGUAAUACGUAGCAUCGCAUGAUGCAACGUUGAAAGUUGGCCUCUGGCUAACACUGUAGGAUGGGCCCGCGGCGCAUUAGCUAGUUGGUAAGGUAACGGCUUACCAAGGCCACGAUGCGUAGCCGACCUGAGAGGGUGAUCGGCCACACUGGGACUGAGACACGGCCCAGACUCCUACGGGAGGCAGCAGUAGGGAAUCUUCCGCAAUGGACGAAAGUCUGACGGAGCAACGCCGCGUGAGUGACGAAGGCCUUCGGGUCGUAAAGCUCUGUUGUUAGGGAAGAACAAGUACCGUUCGAAUAGGGCGGUACCUUGACGGUACCUAACCAGAAAGCCACGGCUAACUACGUGCCAGCAGCCGCGGUAAUACGUAGGUGGCAAGCGUUGUCCGGAAUUAUUGGGCGUAAAGCGCGCGCAGGCGGUCUCUUAAGUCUGAUGUGAAAGCCCACGGCUCAACCGUGGAGGGCCAUUGGAAACUGGGGGACUUGAGUGCAGAAGAGGAGAGUGGAAUUCCACGUGUAGCGGUGAAAUGCGUAGAUAUGUGGAGGAACACCAGUGGCGAAGGCGGCUCUCUGGUCUGUAACUGACGCUGAGGCGCGAAAGCGUGGGGGAGCAAACAGGAUUAGAUACCCUGGUAGUCCACGCCGUAAACGAUGAGUGCUAGGUGUUGGGGGGUUCCACCCUCAGUGCUGAAGUUAACACAUU
rnacentral:rRNA from 1 species